GGCACUAUUCUAAGUGACAAAAAAAGGGUUAUAGCUCCAGGAAUAAUGAGAUAAAAUUAAGGAGGGUGUUUGGUUUGAUUCUUUUACUAAAUAUCAGGGGGAAAAAUAAUCCUGACUGGGGAAUUAUUUACCUUGUUACUCCUCUAACAGGAAUAUUAGAAGGUCUGUCACUUGGAAAAUGCAUUGACAGCUAAACAAAAGGGAAAAUAAACACUAAUCCAUGGAAUUAAAAGACAAUGAAUUUUGGGGGAGUUAGAUGCUUUUUCAGGCUUUUAAACAUUGUUUUAGCCUGUGCAGCAUAUUUUGUGAAUACGUGAGCAGCUUCUCACGAGCUAUAGAAUGUGAGGUUUUUUUGGUUUUUGGUUUGUUUUUUUUUUUUUUUUUUACACAGAAUCCCAGGGGAAAAAUACUCAGAGACAUUGAUCGAAUUUUCUAUUAAUUCUCCUCAAAACCAGACACUUGGCCAAAAUGGAAAGCAAACCUGCAAGCACAGCCUGCUAGUGCCUUCCAGAUAAUAGAAGUGUGCCAGACAGAGUGCACUAGGAGACUGACAUGGUGACCUAAUGAGGAGAGCUUUGAACUACUGGGUCUACAUCCAAAGGAAGUGUAGCGUUUCAAUGUCUCUCUCAUCGCCUGGCAGUCCUACACAGAUUUAACUCUUUAUACCAGCCUGUAUGCCAGUUCUCUGCAGCAUCCCAUCUGCCUGCUAUUCUUCAAAACACCCCCAGCUUCUCUGAUUUGUGCUGCAUCAUCAUAAUAGCCAGAACUGGCAUCAUCUAACUGGCGUGAUAUCAAGGACAACAGGUCUCAGACGUGGGACCCUGCAUACCAUGGCUGCUACUGAACCAAAUGGGAGACAGUAAGAGAGUGACCCCAAGGCUGGGGCCACCUGAAGGCCAGUUUUCUGGCUCUUGCUAGGGCUGAGAUCUUUUCUAUACAUCUAUGAUGGUACAUGCAGGAUCCACGGCAGCUGUCAUGCCUAACAGUUGCUCAUCACCUCCAUUUUGACAGAGGAGUCAUUACACAGGGAAGAGGAAACAAUAAACAAAAUGGGCCAAAUCAUUCCAGCCAAUACAGAGCAUAAUAACAUGUUAGAGGGAACACAAGCCAGUUGAGAAAAAAUAAUAAUAAUAAUUUUCACUUGUUCUCUUCUCAUACUCUUUUCCCUUCCAUCUAUUUUCUACUAUUACAAUACUCUUUUUACCCUGUUGAAUUUUGAACUCAGAAGCAGCAGAUGUAUUCCUGACAUGAUUUGCCUUUCAUUGCCUGUUGCCUCCUUUGUUUCCUCUUUCUCACUUUUUGCCCAAGUCUUUUUUUCCCACUCAUUGAUUUACUCCCUCCUCAUUUUAGCUAUUUGUUCAAUUCUUCAAUAUUUCUCUUCAAUUUUGUCUCCCCUUUUCACCUUCACAGAGCCCUCUGUCCAUUUUUAGUCAUACAGAAAAAAUCUGUCUUACCUGAUGUGUUUUAAAAACUGAACAGAGGCAUGGCUGUAUAAAACCAUAAUUGUGUAGAUAUGUAUGUGAUCCACUGGAUCUUCUUAUUUAAUUUCAGUCUUAGGCAAAUGAAAUGCUGUAACUUCAUUUCAUGCUUUGUCUAAAAAAGCAAGAUUAACUUAGUAUAAAUAAAGUGCAAUGGCAUAAAUGGUGUAAAUGGCACAAAAAAAUCUACUGAACCUGUCACUGCUGUCCUUGAUACUUGAAGUUAAAACAUAACAUUAAAGCCCAAAAAAAAAUAAGCUAAGUGAAUAUAUUUCUACAGUCAUUUUUCUUAGUCAUGUAUGUGCAAGUUAAUCAAUCUGUUGCCUGACUCUAGUACAGAUUACCUAGUGGUCUGUUUAUGAUGGGUAAAGCUCAGGAAGGAUUUUGAACCACUACAAAGCUAUGACAUUGGUUCUUUAGGAAAACAACAAAAGAAAAAAAUGGAAUUUAAAAGCAUAAUGUACAUUCUACGCCAAGAGUUAUUAAGACAUUAAUUGUACUUGUCACAAAUUUAUUAAAUCAACUAUAAUGAAAAGCUAUCAAGAUGCUGAGCAAUUCACAAGCAAGUAUUAUCAAGAUGGUGAGCAGUUCACAAAAUGAAAUAUUGUCUUCAAAAGCAACACACUAGAGGACCUACGCCUGUUUCAUGAAACAGCUGAAAGAUCCUGUAAGCUGCACAAAAUAUCUGCACAAAUGCCAACAAUUCUUCAAGAUGAUCAAUUAAUCUGUUUAGGACCAACCACUUGCAUGUUUUUUUAGGAAUGUUACAACUUUUUUUUUUUUUAUGUACAAUUUAAUUAGAAAUAUUUAAUUGAUACUGUGUUAUAUUCAGGGUGCUGCUAGCAGACACAGAUUUAUAAUAUGGCUAAAACGUAUCGAACUGGGAAAGACUAGAUACAGAAGGGCUGAGGUCAUAGUUGAACAUUAAAAUUGAUCUAAUGAAGUCCUCUCUUCCAUACCGCUGGGCUCUCAUUCCCAUAUUCUCUUUUCUUUAUGGGACCAUGAAUUUGUACAGCUAUGUUUAAACCAGGAACAGGAACUUUUAAAUAUACCCAUUCUGGGUUGCUUGUUACAUGGGUCAGUUCCCUACUUAGUUUCACCGAGCAGCUUCAAAAGCAGAAGCAGCAACAACAACAACAACCUUGAGCAGUGUGAGGAUUCCCUGAUGGUCACAGAACUGUCUUAGAACUGAGAGGCAAUCACAGAAUGGUUGGGGUUGGAAGGGACCUCUGGAGAUCAUCUAGUCCAACCCACCUGCUAAAGCAGGUUCACCCAGAGCAGAUCGCACAGGAAUGUGUCCAGGUGGGUUUUUAAUGUCUCCAGAGAAGGAGAAGGAGACUCCACAAACUCUUUGGGCAGCCUGUUCCAGUGAUCUGUCACUCUCAAGGUAAAGAAGUUUUUCCUCAUAUUCAGGAGGAAUAUCCCAUCCUUCAGUCUGCGCCUGUUGCCGCUCAUCCUAUCAUUGUAUCCCAAUUUUAGAGGAGAAAUACUAGCUAUCCUGUUGUAGCGCAGACUCCUCCAAUUGUGUCUUUGAACUGGGUACACCUUUCCUUCAGUCUAGUAUGAUAUCGAUCUAAUUGGUGAUCCCUGUGGGAGUUUAGAUGAAAAACAAGUUCUAAGUCCUACAGUAGUUAUCAUAAACUAGAAUACAGACUGUUUUGUAUAAUGCACACCAUGCAGCAAGUGAAGGCGCAUAGCAGGAAGCAAAGGAGAAGCAGCAAGAACGUAUGUGAAUAUGAAGGAUAACCAAAAUGUGAAGGAAAAAAAGUGAGAGGAAGAAAAGAGCAGAGCGAAACAUGGCACCAAUCACCUGAAUGACGCUUUGCAUUUUUAGACACUGACAUUUUCCUUCAGAGGCCUUUCUCUGCUUUGUUUUUCUGCUUCUACCUCCUGCUCUCUAAUAAACCUGUCAUUGCUCCUUCCUUCAUUUCCCCCAGUACAAACCAGGGAUAACACUACUGAUUUAAUGACUAGUGAAUUGCAGAUAUUUUUCUUCAUGUAUAAAUACUCAUACUCUAAUACAAACACACACACAAAAAAAAGAAAUCCCACACGUUUACACAAUCGAAGUCCAUUAGAUCAAAAGUUAUGAAAGACUGAUAAGGACCAUGGUUAAACCAAAUAAUUGAUCUUAGGUCAUUCACUUAGAAUACACGAACACACUGUUGGAGGUAUCUCAGAACUAAUGACAAGAUGUAUGGCAGAUAGGAUUGAAUAAUCCAGAAAACAAGCAAGAUAUGUACCCUGCACCACUGAGGCUGAUGGUUGCAUUAGCAAUAUAGUCUAGACUUUCAAACAUAACUCAAAUACACCAAUGUGGAGACAGGAAUCAUAAGUACUUCAGGAUCACCUGAUCACCCUGGCUGGAUAGGUCACUAGACCAAGACUCAUGCUUCUGCUUUGCAUUAUAAAGAAUAAUUUUAUUUCUCUUAUUUAGAAAAAAAAAAAAAAAAAAGUGAAGCAAGAGCUUUUGCUGGUCUGCAGAAGGGCUAAGGCAGAAAUUCCAAACACUUUGUUCAUGGAGAGAUAGUUAAUGAGAGAGCAUCAUCCAGCUGCAGGCCUUAUGAGAAUAUUCAGCACAAAGCACAUCCUUUAAAUUUAACAGGCUAGGCACAAACAAAAAACAACCUCUUUUUUCUGGCAAUAUAUAUGACUUCUCAGGAUGCACUUAUUUUUUGCAUUCUGCAAUACGUACUUAUUUCUUCUCUGGAAACCCCUCACCUACUUUAUACAGCUUACCUAAUAUUUUAACAUUGGCUAUUUGUUUUGGUGAGGGCUAUCAGCCUUGUCCUUAACUGUAAACAUCAAUCCAAGAAUUUCUGGCAACAUCGUUUACAGCCAGAAAAUCUUUAGCAUAACUAAAUUUGGCAACCUUAUCUAAUAGCAUCACCUCAGUCAACCCUUUCAGCACCCUCUGGUGACUCUAAUCUGGUCCCAGGUUUUGAAUACAUUCAGUUUCUCUAAGCAGUCCCUAACCUGUUGUUCCCAUACCCCCUGUUGCCCCCCCUCACUCCUACAUGUGCUGGUACAGAACAUUUUGCUUGUGAAGACAGACACUAAAAAGGCAUGGAGUCAUUCAGCCUUUUCAGUACCAUCUGUUUGUCCUACACUUAUCAACGGACCCACACUUUCCCUGAACAUUCCUCUGAUUCUAGCAUAUUCUGCAAUCACCCCUUAUGUUCCUCAGUGCUUUUAUCUGCAGCUGGGUUUUGGUCUUUCUGAUUUUGCUCAAAAUGCUCAAGCAAUUCUGUUUGUAUUCCUCCUUUGUUGCCUAGUUUCCACUUCUUGUGUGUUCCUGUGUUUCAGUUCAUCCAGAAGCACCCUGCCUAGCCAAACAGCUCUUCUGCCAAAAUCUCAUCCUCCUGCACAAAUGGAGGAGGGUUCAUUUCUGAACUCUCAGGAAGAUUUCUUUGAAAAACAAACAUUUCGCUUAUGCUUUUUUUUCCUUCAUGGUAGUUUCCAGAGGGAAUUCUGCCCAACAAAUUGAAAUUUGGGCAAAGAAAAUGCCUAAACAGAUUUGAAUUUGCUUUCCUGAAGGCCAAAGUCCUGACUCUGUUAUGUAUCUUUCCAGCUUUCCUUCAGAUCCUGAAGUCAUCUGUGAACAGGAGGUCAUGUACACCACUACACUGUUUAACCCCCUCCAGUAUUUGCGCUGGGAAGCAGCCAAUAUGCAGUGUAGUAUCUUCUUGGAUGUCUUGCACUUUGCUUUCUUCCAGAAAAUGACUGCAUGGUUUAAACCCCACACAAAGAUGAGGACAUACAAGAAGCAACCUCCUGCUAGCUGUUUUUAGAAAUCCUCAUCUCCUCUUGGUCAGGUGGCCUGUAGCAUACCCCCAGCACAAUAUCCCUGACACCACUCAUCAGAAUGCCUUGACAACCAAUUUUCCAGUUUCAUUGGAGAUGUCUCUAACAUAGCAACAGAGACCUUUGUUUCCUUUUUUCCUUA